ensembl:snRNA U6 U6 spliceosomal RNA
GUGUUUCAGCAGCACACAUACUAAAAUUUUGAAAACUACAGAGAUUAGCAUGUGCAAGGAUGACAAAUUUGUGAAAUGUUUCAUAUUUUA